AACUUACUGACCCAGGACAACAGUCAUGAAAGGUUAAACAGUCACAUGACAAAUAAAUACUUGAAGACCGUUACUUUGCUCUUUUGAUUUCUAGAUGAGUCCACUCUUAUACACUAGAGAAAAUAUUACUUAGUCCUAUCUGAAAUAAGCUUAUCCUACUUUGAAGGCUGCAUUGAAUUUCCUGAAACUGUUGGAGGCAUAAAAGAGCUUGGUGUAGGAGUUCCUGACAUUAUGGGUCUUGAAAACGGUAUCCUCUGGGAGCUCAUUGCAUUUAGAAGCCUGGGUGCUGUAUUAGCAAGAACCAUUCCAGGCCGGUUAGCAGGUACUGAUUGUGGCACGGGAUGAGUCAUAGAUCUUGAUUUAAGUAUUUGACUACGCUCAACGAGAAGCCUCUGUUUUGACCUCUCCAAUAGUUCUCUGACCCUCAUAACCACAUUAUCCAUGUCAUGAAAGAAGGUUAUCUUGCUCUCCAGCUUGUUUAACUGUUUCUCUAUUAAUGAUGUAGUAAGCAGCCGAAUUUGGUCCUCUUCUUGAUCUGCCAGAUAUUUCGCCUUGACUGCAGCAGCUGUCAAAGCAGUGACUGCGGCACGUUUGAUCUUUUCAAUAUCCAGAUCAUUUUUGUUCUUCAAAGGAUCUUUUCUCCCAUCUAAAGAGUCUUUGACUUCUCCAGCCCCUGUAUCUUCGCCAUUUUCAAGUACAGAGUUCGAUUUCAUGGAUUGCUCAGGCUCCUUUGUUUGCACAGCUGGCAUCAUGUCCUCAUCUUUAGGAGUAUCUGGAGAGUCAGAAGGAAUGGUCAUUAAAGCUCCAUCAACUGACUCCUUUUCGAACCCGGGUGGGAGCUCUAGUUUAGACGUUAAAACAUCUGAUUCUGCUGUGGUACUUGGUGUCUGUCCCACUGCCAAGUCUGCAUCAUCUGAUUCUUUAAGUGAUGCAGGUUCCCCUUCUUUGUCAGUAGGAAUUGGAUCAGAUUGUUUUGAAGUAUCAGAUUUCUCUGGAUUUUCAUCACUGGUGGAAACCAAAUGGGCUGCUUCUUCAAGUUCCUUCUCAUUUUUCUCUUCAUGGUUUUCACCAUCCUGCUCUUCGCACUUUUUGUCAAUGUUUGUUUCACCUUUGGUCUCUUCUUGUCCAAUUGACAAACUCUUCUCUUCAAUAACUGAUGUCAACUUUUCCUCUUUCUGCAUUUCAACAUUGUCCUCCUCAUCUUUCUUAUCUUCUGGAUCAACUGGUCCAUUAGCAGGUCGAUCUGUAUCAGAUGAUGCCUUCCCAUCAUCUGGUGGAUCUUCCAAAACAAAACAGUGCCUUAAGGCUAGAUUCUCACCAGAAGGAUUACCAGAAAUGGAUUUCAAAGAGCUGCGCACUGAGGCAGUAACUCUUUUAGCUUCUACCAGUUUCACCAGGAACGCUGCCACUGCCAUUACAGGAUUGCCAGCUUCAGCAAAUGAAGCAUAUUCUCCAGGUGGAGGAUAAAAACCAGCAGCAGUAAAUGCCUCCCUCAGUGCUUUGAGUGCACAGUUCUCACCAACCUCCUCCUGAGGAAUUGGCCCAUUCACAUUCUCUGGCUUUGAUGUUUCCACUGUGGGUGAAACCUGAUUGUCAUUUCCAUCAUCCUUACUCUCUGUUGUUUCUGGGGCAUCAGUACUAGCUGAUGUAUCAUCUUUAGACAAAACUGCAUCUUCUUUUUCUUUAACACACUGGUUAAUUUCAGCAUCAGUAUCCAAGAAUGUAUCCUCUAUUGGCAUUUCAAUGAAGUGAAGAAUACACUGAGCUUUGGUCUUUGUAGCCACAUGCUCAGCAAUCUCAUUCCAGUUUUCCUUGUAAAGCUCUAAUGCCUCAAGGAGAAGAAGAGUCUCCUGAUCUGUCCACUUCCCACCACUUGCACCGCCAGACUCACCAGGCUCCAUAACAAUGAAAUCAGAAGGUGACAUACCAGAUCCAAACUUCCCAUUGUUGAAGCAUUCGCUACACAAGUCAAAGUCUGCCUCCUUUUGGCAAUGAUACCGCUUUCUUGAGCAGUCAGCUGAGCAAGAGUUGCAGUGGUACUCAACAGCUGGCCCUUCAGACUUCAUCAGUUCUUCAGCAAUAGCUGACUCUGGAAAGAAUCCAGAAGUCGCAGAAGGAGUAGCUACACUAGACCUCGGAAGAACUGGGGUCCAUGUUUCAUCGGAUUCGAAGCGAAACAGUUUAUCAACCAAAGAAUCUGUCUUUGCCGCCUCGUCCCCAUCAAUAUCAACAUUACUAACCGAACUGGUUUGUGGGAAAGGGUGGUAAUUAAUCAAGCCCCAGUAGUCCAAAAACUCCAUCACUUCCUUUUUUACAUCCAAAUCUCCUGCUGAGAGCUCGGACAAAUCAUUCAACUCAAUUUGAAUGUUGGGGUCAGUGUGAUACUUUUUCAUGAUCCAAUUCCGUAUCUCCAUGUAUAUUUCUGGAGUCCUACUUGGCAACUUCUCAUUGAAGAAUGACGGCAUUGUCUGCUUCUCCAAAGGAUGAACCUCUGUCCAAGAGAACCAACCAGCAUGAGUCGGCACAACGUGAACAUUACGAUCACGGGAUCUAAUUGACUCAAUUCCAGCUUCAAUUUCAGCCUCUAAUGCCUCCAAAUCCUCCUUCACUUGAUUGGACUCUUUGUCAACCUUCACCGCCUCUUCUACACCGACCUCGGCCUUUAGCAGCACCUCCGAUUCGAUCCUAAUACCAAAACCUGACGGAGAAGCAGCACUGGCAGCUGCAGCUGCGGCGUUGUUUGGCUGCUGCCGAGCUCUUGUAAGCGGACCAUUGUGGAUCGGUGGGAAAGGUACUGCUGACUGCUUCUGACGCUUCGACAAAGUCGAGGGGGGAGUUGAACUGGCGCCACUUCCAAUGGCGCUUGCUUUUCGUUUGUUGCCACCACCUCUCCGACGCGACAUAGGCGCCUCAGCGGACGGAACGUCAGCCGAUGUCAUCGGCGUGUCGUUGGCCGGCGGUGGAGUUCCGGUGUCCUUCCG
rnacentral:misc_RNA from 1 species